rnacentral:tRNA from 1 species
GGAGACGUGCCAGAGUGGUUGAACGGGCCGCUCUCGAAAAGCGGUAUCCUGAGCAAUCGGGAUCAGAGGUUCGAAUCCUCUCGUCUCCG